rnacentral:rRNA from 1 species
GUGCCAGCAGCCGCGGUAAUACGUAGGCAGCAAGCGUUGUUCGGAAUUACUGGGCGUAAAGAGUGUGUAGGUGGUGUCGUAAGUUUGGUGUGAAAUCUCCCGGCUUAACUGGGAGGGUGCGCCGAAGACUGCGAUGCUGGAGUAUGGGAGAGGAAAGCGGAAUUCCUGGUGUAGCGGUGAAAUGCGUAGAUAUCAGGAGGAACACCUGCGGUGUAGACGGCUUUCUGGACCAUUACUGACACUGAGACACGAAAGCGUGGGUAGCAAACAGGAUUAGAUACCCUCGUAGUCC